rnacentral:rRNA from 1 species
AGUGAACGCUGGCGGUAGGCCUAACACAUGCAGGUCGAACGGCAGCACAGUAAGAGCUUGCUCUUACGGGUGGCGAGUGGCGGACGGGUGAGGAAUACAUCGGAAUCUACUUUUUCGGGGGGGAUAACGUAGGGAAACUUACGCUAAUACCGCAUACGACCUACGGGUGAAAGCAGGGGAUCUUCGGACCUUGCGCGAUUGAAUGAGCCGAUGUCGGAUUAGCUAGUUGGCGGGGUAAAGGCCCACCAAGGCGACGAUCCGUAGCUGGUCUGAGAGGAUGAUCGGCCACACGGGAACUGAGACACGGUCCAGACUCCUACGGGAGGCAGCAGUGGGGAAUAUUGGGCAAUGGGCGCAAGCCUGAUCCAGCCAUCCCGCGUGGGUGAAGAAGGCCUUCGGGUUGUAAAGCCCUUUUGUUGGGAAAGAAAAGCAGCAGGUUAAUACCCCGCUGUUCUGACGGUACCCAAAGAAUAAGCACCGGCUAACUUCGUG